CUACUUCCAAUAUUUAUUUACACAUGGUAGCCUAAAUGUAUCGUACAAAAAUUGAGAACACUGCAAAACACAUACGUACACAAGGAAAUAGUAUAGUUUUUUUUAGGUCAAUGAAAAAUAGCUUACAUCAAACUCCCGUGCGGUGGCUGGCUGCAUGGUCGGCGGUGCUGCUAUGACACAAGUUAUUGCACAGUGUUUUGCUCACACCACAAUGUCGAUACGUGAUCACCGCGGCGGCUGGAGCGCGGAACACCGAAUUCCGGCGCUCCUCCCUCGGCGGCGGCGUUUUGGCUUCGUGAGAUCAUCGGUUACCACGCCCUCGGUACAGAACCAGGUCGGAUGUCUUUAUACGGUGAAGUGUCUUGACUAGAGAGGAGCGGUACAGGAAGGAGUGAGUGUGUGUGUGUGUGUGUGUGUGUGUGUGUGUGUGUGUGUGUGUGUGUGUGUGUGUGUGUGUGUGUGUGAGAGUAAAA